rnacentral:lncRNA from 1 species
CUUUCGCUGUUCUGUUUUAAGCUUUUUGUGAAAAUCAGCCUUGCCAUCCUCAGUCAUUUCUACAUAGUGAAAGGCAACCGCAAGGAAGCGGCAAGGAUAGCAGCUGAAUUUUAUGGAGUAACCCAAGGACAAGGUUCCUGGGCAGAUCGAUCACCACUACAUGAAGCAGCAAGUCAAGGUCGCCUUCUUGCUCUGAGAACAUUAUUAUCACAGGGUUAUAAUGUAAAUGCAGUAACCUUAGACCAUGUCACCCCAUUGCACGAAGCCUGCCUUGGAGAUCACGUGGCAUGUGCCAGAACUCUGCUGGAAGCAGGAGCUAAUGUAAAUGCAAUCACGAUAGAUGGCGUGACUCCGUUAUUCAACGCAUGCUCCCAAGGCAGUCCAAGCUGUGCAGAGCUGCUUCUGGAGUAUGGUGCCAAAGCCCAGCUGGAGUCAUGUCUUCCAUCCCCAACGCAUGAGGCCGCCAGUAAAGGUCACCAUGAAUGUCUUGACAUCCUGAUAUCCUGGGGCAUAGAUGUUGACCAAGAAAUUCCUCAUUUGGGAACUCCUCUCUAUGUAGCUUGUGCUGACGUACAGAAAGGCAAAUAUUGGGAUACUCCAUUACAUGCUGCUGCUCAACAAUCCAGCACAGAAAUUGUAAACUUACUGCUAGAAUUUGGAGCAGAUAUCAAUGCCAAAAAUACAGAGCUUCUGCGACCUAUAGAUGUAGCUACGUCUAGCAGUAUGGUGGAAAGGAUAUUGCUUCAACAUGAAGCUACCCCAAGCUCUCUUUACCAACUUUGCCGACUCUGUAUCCGAAGCUACAUAGGAAAACCAAGAUUGCACCUUAUCCCACAACUCCAGCUGCCAACGUUACUGAAGAAUUUCUUACAGUAUCGAUAAAACAGUAAAGUAAUUCUAAAUAC